rnacentral:rRNA from 1 species
GUGAGGAAUUUUCCGCAAUGGGCGAAAGCCUGACGGAGCAAUGCCGCGUGAAGGAUGAAGGCCUAUGGGUUGUAAACUUCUUUUCUCAGAAAAGAAUUAUGACGGUAUCUGAGGAAUAAGCAUCGGCUAACUCUGUGCCAGCAGCCGCGGUAAGACAGAGGAUGCAAGCGUUAUCCGGAAUGAUUGGGCGUAAAGCGUCUGUAGGUUGUUUAAAAAGUAUUCUGUCAAAGAUUAGGGCUUAACCCUAGAUAGGCAGAAUAAACUUUUAAGCUAGAGUUUGGUAGAGGCAGAGGGAAUUCCCGGUGGAGCGGUGAAAUGCGUAGAUAUCGGGAGGAACACCAAAGGCGAAGGCACUCUGCUGGGCCAAUACUAACACUGAGAGACGAAAGCGAGGGGAGCAAAUGGGAUUAGAUGCCCGAGUAGUCC